AUCGACGGCGGGGAGGAGGGGGGGAAGGAAAAAGAUCGCAUCGACGUCGCUUCCCGCAUGCGCGAGGCUUGCCGCGCCGCUUAGUGCCGAUUUGGGACUACCGCACCCAGCGUACGCUGCAGUGGCAGGGGUGCUGCCGGCGGCCGUCCUCGGCCUGCGCGUUGCAUGCUGGGGGCUGUAGUCUUGGUGGCGGGCGGGAACAGGGCAUGGGCGCGGCCUUGGCGCUGUGGCGUCGUCGCACCGGAGGACACUGAGGGCGAGCGAGCCUCCUCCCCUGGAGGAAGCGUUUCUGGAAGGUUAGCAAUGGUCCGUAGUGGAAAAAAUGGUGGGCUCCACCUGAAGCAGAUUGCAUACUACAAGCGAACAGGAGAGUAUCAUCCCACAACACUAUCAAGCGAAAGAAGCGGAAUCAGGAGAGCAGCCAAAAAAUUUGUUUUCAAAGGAAAUAAAUUGUUCUAUGUUGGAAAAGACAGAAAACAAAUGCGCCUGGUAGUUGUUUCAGAUGAAGAGAAGAAAAAGGUGCUUGAGAAAUGCCAUGAAAAUUCUGCUGGCACUCAUCAUGGCAUAUCAAGGACACUGACUUUAGUGGAAUCUAAUUACUACUGGACCUCUGUAACAAAUGACGUCAAGCAGUGGGUUUAUGCUUGCCGGCACUGCCAAGUGGCAAAGAAUACAACCACCACAGCACCCAAACCACACCCUAUCAAAGCAGAGGACCCGUGGACAGCAGUCACUGUAGACCUAAUGGGACCUCUUAAUGUUACCAAGAGAAGCCACAAGUAUAUCAUAAUUAUGACAGAUUUGUUUACAAGAUGGGCUGUUAUCUUGCCCCUGCAUGACACUUCAGCAGCUGAAAUUGCUAAGGCUAUCAUAAAUGUGUUUUUCUUAUAUGGGCCACCUCAAAAAAUGUGUAUUGAUCUAGGGAAGGACCUUGUUCAUCAGGUAAAUGAAGAACUGUUUGCACUGUUUGGAAUGAAACAAAUUGUAUUGUCUUAUCCUCAGACAGAUGAUGUAAAUGAAAGAACAUGCAAGACAAUCAAAGCUUUUCUUAACAAAUACUGUAUUGACCAUCCAAAUGAUUGGGAUGAACAUUUGUCUGCUAUUGCCUAUGCUUUCAAUUUGACAAACUUGGAGCCAGAUCAAAACACCCCAUAUUUCCAAAUGUUUAAUCGUAACCCACAUGUUGUUGAGCCAAUGAAUAUAUGUAUGGAAGGAGAAUACAGUAUAUUUGCCAAAAUACUUGAAGCAACUAAAAAAGCCAGUCAAGCACUGGAAGAAGAGAAAACCUCCGAUUGCCAGGUGGAGAAAAACACUUCAGAUGAACAAAAAAUCAGAAACAAAAUCACUGCCAAAAGGAAGCCAAAGGAAUUAAAUACCCUUCGACUUAAAGUUGGUCAUGAAGUCCUCAGGCAAAGAAAAAACUGGUGGAAAGAUGGUCGUUUCAAGUCGGAAUGGGUUGGUCCUUGUAUUAUAGAUUAUAUCACAGAUAAUGACUGUGCAAUAUUAAGAGACACCACAGGAUCCAGGUUGAAAAGACCCAUCAAAAUGUCUCACCUCAAGCCAUACAUAAGAGGGUCCAGUGAAAAAGAGCAAAUAAAAUUGUCACGCUCCGCAGUAGGACUGCUAGAAAUUCCCAAGGACUCGGGCAUUUUGAGGAAAAUGAAUACUCAGUGUUUAGAAGACUUCUGUCACAGAACAAGCUGCUUCCUUGGUUCAAGGUUCUUGAAAAGUAGAUCAAUUCCCACCCUACCGGCAUUGUUAAGCUUUGGUUCUUCAAAGUGUUUAAACUGCAUUGAGAUGGGAAUUUCUUCCAUCACCUCUUAAAACUGAAGGAUUUGCAAUGCUGAAACUAAUUCUGGAAUGUCAUGUGAGAAGCUGAUAAUUUAUGCCAGUUGUCAGUUACGUGUUUCAUAAUCAAGGUACCAUUUUCACAUCACAUCUCCAGGACACUACUUUUACCGUUGGACAGUCAAUCUAUGGCUUCCAGUCCUUCAUUAAAUUGCUGAUCCAUAAGGAGGAAGUCACAUGCGUGUCAAGCGUGCAGAUAAUCUCCAGCUAUUAUAAUGAUUUUGGUAAAUUGUAUCACAGUAUAAAAAGUUGAAUAUAGUUGUCUUUGUAGGACCAGAGCCUAAUAAUUUUACCAUUUAAUACUGCAGAAGCAGUAGGUAAACAUAGAAUUUCUUCCCUUUCCCAGGAAGUGGGACUAAAGAUUGGUUGUCUGACACAGGUAAAAAAUUCAGUGGAUUAUGAAUACUCAUAAAUCUUAAAAGUAUAGACUCGUAUUCAGACAUAUUUACGUUGCGUAGAGAGGUAAACCAGGCUUUGCCACAGUAAUUGCCAGCCUUUAUCAAACAGCCUAAUGGCAAUCAAGAAAGAGUAUUAUUUCACUUGGAUAAGAGCAGAGAAACUGGGCAGUGAAUGACAUCUUCUUCAUCCAUAAAGAAACGCGUGUGUCUUUGUUACAAAGGACUUCUCUUUAUUAGCAGGGGUGGACUUUUUUAAUCUGCAACUUAUUUAUUAUUCUUACUGCUGUGGUGUAAGUCUAGUGGCUGUCCCUUUGUAUUACCUUGGAUGGCAACAAAGCAUUUGCAGUGUUCUCUGAAAUAAAUGUGGGAAAAGUGCGUCUUAGGUGAGGAUAUUUGUGGCCUUGCCUACCAACUUUGUAAGUUUCAUUAAGUGUUUUGCUUACCCUGCUCAAAGAAUCUGAAGUGUAUCUUGUGUGUAUCACACUUCAGAUGUGUGAGUUUAGGAAUUUUAAAGAGAAAAGGCAAAGCCUGAAACUAAGGUGCUCGUUUUUUAUGUGAGAAAAAAAUCUUUCACAGGUAAGAGUGGGCAAUCAGAAGCAAAGUAUUUUUUCAUAACCUUUUGUAACACUCUUGGUCUAAAGAUAAAUCCUGAAUCAGUGCAUUCAUGAUGCCCUUGGUGCAGGCAUCACAGAUUUGCAGUCUGGGUGUACCUGGGUUGCUUGCUACCUGAUUUGUCUUUACAGCCAGGCAGAGGUUCCAGGACACCUUUUGCACACAUAUGUUUAUAUGUCUGAAGCAACAGUUCGUUUUUCUUGUUGAGUGUAGUUUGGUUUUAAGUAUUAAACUCGAGAAUGCCUCAAGGUCCAGUGCUCAAACAAUUCAGGAGUUCACAUAGGCAGAUUUAGGACAUAUCUGAGAAACGUGGCCAGAAAAGUGUAGUUUCACAUCCACAGUAGCCCCAAAAAGGUCCCUCUGUGGACCUACAUCUUGCAAAGGAAUUUGUAGCCCCCUGUAGAGAGAUAUUUAUCUGUUGAACAGCUCUUCUGGUUUAACAGAACACUUAAUUUCACACUAGGGUCCUUGUGUGAGCAAGAAGAUAGGCCCUAACCUUAUCUUCCAAAACAGAAUUAUUAAUCCUAUGUUGACGGUUACACUUCUAAUUUGUCUGGUCACUGUUUUCAUUUUAUUUGAACUCAUUUGGAAAAGUCAAGCAUUGUAAUAACAUAUCAGAAGAAAAACUCGAUAGUACUAUACAAUAGCAAUGACCAUUGUCUUUAAAUUCUAUAAAACUGUUUUAUUUCUUUUUUCAUUUCUUAAAAAAGCCUGUUGUCUUGCAUUUAGAUUUCCCAGCAAGAGCUUGGAGUAGCCACAUUUCUCUGUGUGCGUGCACAAAAUGGAAGAAUCUGCGUGUCCAUUCAUUGAAGACAACCAUUACUUUUUACAAGGUGCAGUAGUUGUUGACCAUGACUAUAUUGGCUUAUCUGAAAGAU